rnacentral:lncRNA from 1 species
AAGAACUACAGACUGAAAAUCAACAACUCUUUUUAGAUCCACAUCCCCCAUAUUGGAGGGACAGAUAAGGAAAUACAGAGACUCACAGCUUUGUGGAAACAGAUGCUCCUAGAACCACAGACUGAUAGAAAAACUUAAACAAUAAUUGAUGAAUUGUUAGAGGUUCAGUGUGGACAAUCCUGGAAGGUAAAUGUGGAGGACCUGCAUGCAUUUGUCAGUUCCAGUUCCAGAAACCUCAUCAGAUUCUCACAGUGAAGAUCAGAGAAAAAUUUUCUCCUUCUUCUGAAGGGCAAAAGGGAAAAGUAACCAUUUUGAACUAUUCCUAGAGCACUGCUAUCCUGACUAAGAAUAUUCUCUCUCACCUCAAGAGAAAUUUUACUGGAGCCUAUAGAUUUCUGUUUUACUGGAAUUUAAAGAAGGAAAAUACCCAAAUCCAGCCCUCAGUAGACCUCUUGUCCCAUGUAAAAGAUAAAGGAUUCUGAGAAAUACUCAUCAGGAAAGCUACAGCCCAAGGGCACAGACUCACUAAAGACUGAGACCUAAUCAUGGGAUUAUAGAACACUUUCUGUCCUCUGGACACCUACAUCCUAUCUAUAGAUGUUGAGAGUUUAGCAUCCAUUUAGUUUGUCCAAGUGGCCUGCAGGGACUUUAAACUGACACUAGUACCUCUUGCAAGUGCAUGCCCCAAAUAGUAGAUCACAGAAUCAUAAAUAAAUAUAAGUCUUUGAUGUGAUUUCCCCAACAGCCUGUGGGAUCAAAAGUCUCCUCCACCUCACAGGGCCUUCCCCUUAGAUAAGACCCCUACUCUUUUGGUUUGAAUUGACCAGUCCAGCCCUGGCCUUGGAACCUCAAAGCACUCCACCCAUGAACCUUAAUAAAUGUAUGUACUCCAGGUCCUAUUGCUGUCUGCAUUCUGCCUGGACCUCCCCAUGUAGCCCCUGAGGCAUUCCCCAUACCUCCUCCAGGACCUGUGAGUAAUAAACUUCUCUAUUUCAGUUUUUCUUGUUAUUAAACUGCAGUCCACCGUCUAGUGCCUUAUGUUCCACUUAACAAAUGUUAACAAAGUCAUAACAGUAGUGUAAUAAUGGAUCACAGAUAGAAGAACUGCAAGCUUCAGACCCUAUUUAAGAAAAAGUUUCUAGAAAAAUAAAAAGACAAUAGAAAAGACAAAAACAAGGACACUAGAGGAAAUUUUAGUCACUGACACUGUAGCUAGAACACACAGUAUACACAAACUCCUAGCAUAGAAUAUAAACCCUCACACCAAAGUCCUAUUAUCUCAGUUCCUUUCACCCAAUACACCAUUUCUCACAUUCAACAACAAAUUACAAAGCAUGUAGCAUGCAAAACCAUAAUUUGCAGAGACAGAGCAGACAUCAGACCCAGUAGGACAGUCAGGGCUCCUGGGUGGCUCAGUCCAUUGAGUAUCUGACUCUUGGUUUUGGCUCAGAUCAUGAUCUCAGGGUCAUGGGAUGGAGUCUUGCAUUGGGCUCUCCCCUCAGCAGGGAGUCUGCUUCUCCUUCUCCUUUUCCCUCUACUCUUCCCUCUACUCAUGUGCACUUUCUCUCUCUCAUGCUUGCUCUCUCUCUCUCAAAUAAAUAAAAUCUUUAAAAAAUAAAAUAACUAGAUUGAUAUGCUAAGAAUUAAAUGGAAAAAGUGGACAUGUGAGAACAGAUAAUUAAUAUAUCUGUAUCUAUAACAGAUGGAAACUUUAGAAUCAAAAGGAAAUCAAAAACACUAGAAGAGAAGUAGAAAAUAUGCCUUUAAUAAGCCCAUUGGUAAACUGAAUACAGCUGAGGAAUGAAUCAGUGAGCUUGAAGGUAUAUCUGUAGAAAUUUUGCAGACUGAAAAUUAAAGAGAAAAAAAAGAAUGAAAUCAAGAAAACAAAAUAUCAAAAAACUGAGGGACAAUUAAAAAGGAGUAGCAUAUGUACAAUAGAAAUAUCAGAAGGAGGGAUCCCUGGGUGGUGCAGCGGUAUGGCACCUGCCUUUGGCCCAGGGCGCGAUCCUGGAGACCCGGGAUCAAAUCCCACGUCGGGCUCCCAGUGCAUGGAGCCUGCUUCUCCCUCUGCCUGUGUCUCUGCCUCUCUCUCUCUCUCUCUCUGUGUGUGUGACUAUCAUAAAUAACUAAAAAAAAAAAAAAAAAAACAGAAAGAGGAGAAAGAAGGAAAUAUAAGAAAUAUCUGAAAGACUAAUGGUUGAGAAUCAUCUAAAAUUAGUGAUAGGCAUUAUACCACAGAUCUAGGAGGCUUAGAGAACACCAAGUAGAAUAAAUAUCAAAAAAAUAUAUAUACAUCUGGGAAUAUCAUAUUCAAACUUAAAAAAAAGCAAAGACAAAAAGAAAAUCUUGAAUGAAUAUAGAAGGGGGAAAAUAUCUAGGCUGUAAAGAAACAAAAAUAAAAGUUAUGUUAGAUUUCCCUUUAGAAACCAUGUGAGCAAAAACAAAGGGAAGUACAAUAUUUAAAAUGUUGGAAUGAAACCACAUCAACUUAGAAUUUUGCCUUCAGCAAAAUUACUCUUCAGAAAUGAAGGAGAAAUAAAGACUUCCACAAGCAAAAAUUGAGGAAAUUUGUCACCUGUAGACCUAACUUGCAAGAAAUGUUAAAGUUCUUCAGAAAGAAUAAAAGUUAUAUAGAUCAGAAACUCAGAUAUACAUUAAACAGUUUGUUAAAAAUAAUAGCAACAAUGUGUCAAGUGAUUAUAGCUUAUAGAUGAGAGAAAUGAACAGAAUUGUCAUACAGGAUGGGAGAGAGAAACUGAGAAGAUUGAGUUGUAAAAUACUUGCACUAUCUGUGAAGUGGCAUAUUGUUAUUUUAAAGUAGAUUUAGUUGUAAGUGUAUAUUGCCAACUCCAGGCAACCACUAACAAUUUUUAAAAAGAACUAUAAUUGAAAUGAGAAGAGAACAAAGAAAUGCUCAUUCAAAACCAGAAAGAGGGAUCCCUGGGUGCUUCAGUGGUUAAGCACCUGCCUUCCGCCCAGGGCGUGAUUCUGGAGUUCUAGGAUCUGGAGUCCUAGGAUCAAGUCCCAUAUCAGGCUCCCUGCGUGGAGCCUGCUUCUCCCUCUGCCUGUCUCUCUGCCUCUCUCUCUCUCUCUCUGUGUGUCUCUCAUGAAUAAAUAAAAUCUUAAAAAAAAAAAAAAAAAAAAAAAAAA